AAGGAAAAGGAAACUUGACACUAGGGUUCUUGAGAUGUUGAAUACUAAAUGAAGUAAAGGCAGCACCCAUGGUGAUGAAUUCGAUGGAUGGAAAAUUUUGCAAUGAAGCUAGAGAGGGCGCCCAUGGUUGAAGAAAAUCAUAUAUGAGCAAAUCUGGGCUUAGGGUUUUGAGGAUGUUGGAGAAGUUGUUGCUGGACAUAUCAAAGGCCCUUUUGAGAGUGGACAUGAGAUGGGGAGGGAGGCCAUUGGUGGUAUGGUAGUGAGGUGGGAGUUCAGGCAAGUCAUCAUGUGGAAGAUGGAGUUCCACAAAUUCAAUGCAAUGAGAAUAUUUUUGGGAGAGUUUAGGCUUGAUGGAGCUGAGAUUUACAGGCGUGGAACAAAUAAAGAUGUGAAAAUUUCUCUUGGUGGUCAGCUUCUUGGCUAGCUCUAGGUAGGGAGAUAUAUGGCCGUGAGCUAGCCAUGGAAGCAUAAGAAUAGUAAGUUUUCUUUGGUCAGAGUAAACCAUAUUUUGUUUUCCUUUCACUCUUUUGCUUGAGGUUGCUCGAUUAUAGGCUUAUUGGUAGUUUUUUUGUAGCUAGCUCUAUGCAUAUAUAUAUAUAUAUACACACACAUUCAUGGGAAAAGAGGCUUGGGGAUGGGAAAUCAAUUGAUUUCCUAUGUUUGGUAAAGUUCGGGUAUGAGAAAUCGUUGCUUUGCACAUGAGAAAGUAGAGGGGAAAGUGAAGCCCUCCUCCUUCCUUAGGUUUUGUUUUCCUCCUCAUGGGAAAGUUUGGGAAAAUGAGCUAAUAUUAAAUACAUAUUUUUCAUGACCAUAUUAUCCCCAUUAAUAAUUUAGAAUUACAUAAAUGCAUUCUAUUUUUAUUUGAUUUCAUAUGGGUAUAAUUGAAAAAUUAAACAAAUUUUGUUUUACAUUCCUACACAAACCAAACAUGUGAAAGGAAAUAAAGUGGUAUUUCUUGGUUACUUUCCCAAGAUUACCAAACAUAGGAAAGGAAUCUCUAUUUCCCAUCCCUUAGAAAAUGACUUGGAAAGUAAUUUCUCCUCAAAUUCGUUCCGUGAACCAAACGGAACCUGCAUAAUAGAAGUUCCAAAAAAACACGUGAUGAUUGGAUCAUGCAUAUGUAAGUUCCCGAGUGAUGAUUGGAACAAGUUCCUAAUGAUAAAGACUCGAAACAAGAAUAGUUUAAACUUUCUUCUUUGUUUGGCUUGAUAUAAGACGAAUGCACCAAACAAACCGACUAAUUGCUGGCACAAUAUAAAUUGGGGCUACAAUUACCUAAUAAUUAGGUACUAAGGGCUACAAUUACCUAAUAAUAUCAACUUUCAUUAUACAGAUUUGAGAAACAAAAAGUUCAACUUUGAUGACAAGCGAUAUUAAAGGAGGGCGUAAUCAAACUUAGGAUCUUGAGUGUAGAAAUAAAUACUUUUAACAACUUGAGCUACAAGCCUUUUGUAAUAUUAAUGAUAUUUUAAUUAUACGUUUGAAUAGUUCGCUUCCUUCUCUUUUAUUUUCAUUUGUUUAUAUUUAACUCUAAUUUUAUUUAUAUUUUUGGUCAAGGUAAAAAGACUUUGAAUCUCUCUCCAAUGAUUUUCACAGCCGAAACUCCUUUAGUUUCCACAAAUAUUUUUUAAUAUUUCAUGCAUUUGUAAGUUUCCGACUCGGAUGGUUCAUGUAACCAAGAAGUUUAAACUUGUUUUUGCUUGUUCCGCCGACGAAAGCGCAACAAAAGGACAAACUACAACCAAUACUUCUAGUAUCACCAGUUCUCAUUGAAUUUGUUGCCGUGAAUGUUUAGGAUUCUGCCCAAACUAGUAUUUGCGUUUCUGAAUUGUUUGAAAACACAUAUGAAAUUAUGAUUUCUCCUCCCCAGAAGACAAAUUGACGAAGAAGUAUCAUGAUUUUGAUGACACAAAUUAGAAUCCAGGGUUUUCGAAGUGCCUAAUGGACAACUAUUAAUUUAGAAAUAUAUAUAUUUUUUUCGCAAUGCAGAAACACAUAAAUCCCAAGUUUGAAUUCAUCCUAUUUUUGUUUUUGUUUUUUCCUUUUUUAACCCAGAAGAAAAAUUGAGUGCCACUCUGCUAUGUAGAAUGCAAGUUUUAGUUUAGAUUUUUUUUUCUUUUUAGUCUCUUAUUCUACAUUUAGAUCUCAUAUAUUUACUCGCAUUUUAUUAAAUCUAAGUCAUUCAAACAAUCUGACCACUUAACAAAUUACAAGUACUCAAACUUAAAAUCAGAUUGGAUGGACAUGAGGCUUACACUGAUGAUUCUACACGUGCUGAGAAUAGUCCUUUUAUUUCUUUAUUAUUUUCUUGGUCGGGACUCGAGAGACAGGUGUAGUGUAGCGAUGGAGACGAGGCCCGCAAGACAUAAAAGUCUGAAGAAGAGAAGCGUGAAAGCUUCAUUUAGACAGUUAAGUGCAUACGUAACGUAAAGAUUCAAAGACUAUGUCCCUCUCCAAACAGGGAAAGAUCUGAGUUGAAAGCAACAAACUACAGUCACAAUAGGAAAGCAUCUACAACGUAAAGAAAAUAAGUUUACCAGAAGCAUCGGAAAGAUCUAGAGUCUGAAGAAGAGAUACUGAAGUAAUUGUUCAUCGACUGAGCUUAAAUGAAAUAUUAACUCUUUGUUGUGCCAUAAGCACAAGAUCUUAAGAAAAAAAUUCAAGAUAAACCAUAUAAUAUUUUCUAACCCACAAAAUAAUAUAGAAAAUAAAUGCAAGAACAAGAGAAUAGCAAGACACAACGAGGCUGCUUACAAUCAGUGUAAAUGAGCAAACAAAUUCACCAUCAACAAAUUAGCAUGCUUAUGAAGUGUUUUGCAACCUCACAAACCAAGGCGCCAUAUACACCAAAUGACUCUCACUGAAAAACUAAACAAAGAAACACACUCACACUAAUGAAAGCAACGUUACAAGGUAGGAGAUUGAAUAUUACAUUUACAAUACACUCAUAAGUUACAAAAACUAAUUACAAAUAUUUAGCGCAUAGGUUACAUAGAACUGAAAGGGUGGAAUGAUAAGAGCUAUGGUGGUCAUCCACCAACUCAUGCAUUUACAACACCGCCUCUUGAAUGUCCACCAUACAAUACAAUGAUAUAGUUGCGUCAUUAAACACUUUGCUUGAAAAACUAUAUGGGACAAAACUUAGGCUACGGGAAAAAGAGUGCAACACAAAUAAUAUUGAUAUCACAUUUGUCUCUCCUACGGAAUGAGCUUUGGUGAUGUUUGUAUAAAAAUUGCGUACAAACCAUUAUUGGAAGAUUGGGCUAGAGUGGGCUUUACCCUAGUGUUGACUUUGGAAAGAGACAAAUUAGGCUUAGUUGUGUAAAUUCAAUCCAAAAAAAAAUUAAAUAAUAGCCCACAUCUACAGCCAAAUACUUUAAUACUUUAAUUACUAAAGUUUUUUUUUCUUUCUCUCUCUUCUUUGGUUUAUUCAGCUUUUGAUUUGGCUCAAAUAAUGUUUAUAUCUCUCUUUGAUUUUGUUUUUUCAAAUUUAUUGAUGUUGCUUCUUUUGAAAAUUUUGAAAUAUGGACCCUCCCUAACUAAACCACUCCAUUGAGCAAAAGCCCUUGAGCUUCAAAUUUAUCUUCGUCUGAGCCUCUGAAUUUUGGUUUUUUUUAGGUUUUUUUUGUUUGUUGUAGGUUUCUUUGUUCACAUAUCUCUCUAAAAAUAGUAUUUUUCUUAAUGAAUUCUGAAAAUAGUUUUUAAUUUGAAGGAAAUAUACGGAAUUAGUAAAAAAGUAUACCACUUUCAUUAAUCUGAAGGAAAUAUUGCUUUAUAUAUAUUUGUUUAAAAAUAGGGCUUAUAAUUGAUCUCAAAAAAAAAAAAAAAACAAAUAGCCCACCCCUGUAAAUAUUCCUUAGUCCGCCAUUGCAUGGCAUAAUAUUUGGUAUGCUAUGCUAGCAUCUCAUAAGCUCUUCAAGAGACCUGAAUUUUAUGAUAACUUCUUAAAAAAUUUGAAUACAUUUCAACGAUAUUAAACUUGAAUUUGAACUCAUAAUUCAAUCAAAGUACUCAUUGAGGCAAUUUAGAUCAUUUUCAUUUUAAAAAAAUUGGGUGCACACAUUGAGCUUCAUGCUCUUUACCUUCUUAGAGAUUUUAUUUGAGGAAUUUAUAUUGCAUCACAUAUUACAUCUCUUAGGAUUUGUUCUUAUUAUGUAUUCUUUAAGAGAUCUAUUCUUGCAAUAUGCUUCAAACACUUCAUAAUCUUUAUGAAUUUUUCAUGUAGAUUUAAGGUCUCCAUGAAUAUUGAGAUUGAAACAAGGAGUAAAAGAGUUAAAAGUUUAAGAAAUUUUUUCCCUGAUUAUUUUGUAAUUAUAAUGUUGGUGAAAAUCCAAUUUCCUUUCUAGAAUUUGUGAAAUUUGUUAUUUGGCUAAGCUAAAAGUAUAAUUUUGACAAUAAAAAGCAUAUGAAAGUUUCUCUUUGGUUGGCUUCUUGGCUAGCUCUAGGAACGGACAGUGUGGCCAUGAGAUAACCAUGGAAGUAUAAUAAGAAUGCUUGGAUGCUGUGAACAAUCCAUUUUCUGACUCUUUUUCUUGAGGUGGUUGUUUUCUUAUGGCCCAUCAGAGUUUAUGGUCGACAGAUAAGCUUCAAACACAUGCAUUGGUCGUGUCAGUUGCGAUAAACUCUUCCCAACAAUCAACAAUUUCUAAGGUAAUAUCAUCAUUCAAUCAUGUGCUGAAUUUAGAAUUGUUUUCAAAUCAAGGAUUUGUUUUGGAACUCAGAUUUUAAAACAAUUAAAAUUUAAUUGGGAAGACUUUUUGUUUAAAGGAAGUUCGUUUCAAUUCAAAAAAUAAUUUUUCAGUUUUUCAACUCAAAAGUCUUCUCAGUUUUCUUAUUUUUCUUAUUGGCGAGUUUCUUGGUUAACUCUAGGAAGGGAGAUAUGUGGCCAUGAGCUAACCAUGGAAGCAUAAGAACGCUGACCAUGCUUGGAUUUUGAGAAGACUUCCUCUUUUUUUUUUCCCUGACUCUUCUUCUUGAGGCGGUGGUUGGCUUAUGGCCUCAUAAUAGUUUGGUGUUUUUGGAGAUCAUAUGGUGAUGAUCUGAUGGAGAUGAGUCAUAGUUUGUGCUAGUGCAUACGUAAUUCCAAUUUCCUGAUUCAGAUGGGAUAAACUCUUCCAACAAAUUAAGACUCUUAUCAUGCAUACACAUAAGAAGUGGAAAUUUGCUUCUGUCUUAGUUUGGCCUUGAUAUAGGACAGCUCAUAGGAAAGCAUCCAAAACAAUAUUCUUUUUAUUUUUUUUAUUUGAAUACAAGCGAUAUUAGGAGUGUGGGGAUUUGAACACAUGAUUUAGGGUACAGGGUAAUGCUCUUAACUAUAUGAGUUACAAGUCCCUUGCAAACAGUCUGAAAUACUAAAAAUAAAAAAUAGAUGCUCAUCCAUAUGCACUGUCAUGCCCCAACCCUUGGAUUUACAAAACCUUGUGUUAAGACGUGAUUCACACCUUAAUUAUAGAAUUUAAUAAAAACUAUAACUAAAAUGUGAAGAAAACAUUUAAAUAAAUAAAAUAAAUAUUUCACAUAGAAUAUUCAGUGGAAAUGACAACAUGUGAAAUCUUAAAAAUUUUACAUUAUCUUACAAGUUGGCGUGACUUGUGGAUAUUGACUUACUUUCCUUACACACCAAGAAUUCCUAUUAUAAUUGUAAUUGAUUUACUUUAAUUCAUGAUUUCCUACUGUAAAUAGAUUUAAGAAUUUAUUAUUUACUUGCCCAUUCAGGUUUCGUUGUAUUAUAAAUAUGACCUCCUACAAGGAGAAGAACAUACAGAAAAUUCCCACAAACAAAUAUUCUCUCAUAGUUUUCAUAUUUUAGCAUGGUAUCAGAGCGGCAAUCUUGGAAUUGCUGACUCUAGUUUCAAACCCCCGCCGCCGCUAUGGGGGUUGAUGAUUUUUUCAACCAUCAUGGAGGUAGCACCAUCGACUCCUUCUCUCAUUCUCAACUAACCAUCGUUGAGUUGAGUGCCCAGAUGGCUCCGCUCCUACAGAUGCAGACUUUGACCCCAAACCCGAUCCAGAAUCAGGAUCUUCUUUCGACAACCACGACCCCGAUCUCGACUAUGACAACGACGACCCCGACCCCUACUCUGAAGAUGACCCCGACCCCCACUCCGAUGACCCCAACCCCGAAUUUGUCUCUGAUUCAGAACCCGAUCCCGAUUUCGACUCCGACUCCGGCCUCGACUCAGGCUCAGAUUUCGAUCCAAAUUCCUACUCAACUUAUAUCCUAUGCAUCUUCCGCUGCACAGAUUAUGACUUCUAGACUAACGACCCCGACAUAUGGACCAGAUUGCACAUAUUGUGGUGAUCCGAGACACACUUGUGAGACUUGUUUUAAAUCGCAUGGCUACCCCGAUUGGUGGGCUAUUCUUACAGAUCAAGGACAAUGCACCAGUAAUGGUACUGGUUAUGGAUUCCAUACUUCCGAUAAGAUUGAUUCCAGGAGCUGGAUAAUUGAUUCUGGUGCAACUGAUCAUAUGACGUUUGAUCCUGAUGAUUUUCUGAAUACUACACAACCUCGACGAACUUGUAUUGCAAAUGCCAAUGGUGUUACUUAUCCUGUGACAGGGGCUGGCACUGUUGCACUCUCAUCCUCUCUCACACUGUCUAAUACUUUACUUGUUCCAUUUUUAUCCACUAAAUUGUUGUUAGUUAGUCAGCUUACUAAACAAUUGAAGUGUUGUGUACUCAUUUACCUGAGUUUUUGUUUGCUUCAGGAUAUUCACACUAAGGAGAUUCUUGGUCGUGGUACUAAGAGAGGGGGGCUAUAUUAUGUCGAUGACUUCAGUUCCGGCGUGCCUAACAGUGUGACACAUCCCUUUGAUAGCAAACAAAAGCAAAUUUGGUUGUGGCACCUUCGAUUGGGACAUCCGUCUUUCAGUUAUAUGAAGCAUCUUAUACCAGAUUUAUUCUUAGGUUUCAAGGACUCCGACUUCACAUGUGAUACUUGUAUUUUGGCUAACAGUCACCGUGUGCCCUACCUGUUGAGUACGAACAAGUGUACUUGUAAGAUCCCACAUCAACCAACGGAGAGGGGGUGAUGUGCCUUAUAUAUGCACACCUGCAUCCAUCUAGCACGAGGCCUUUUGGGAGCUCACUGGCUUCGGAGUCGUAGGAACUCCGAAGUUAAGCGAGUUGGGGGCUAGAGCAAUCCCAGGAUGGGUGAUCCACUGGGAAGUUGCUCGUGAGCUCCUAGAAACAAAACCGUGAGGGCAGAGAGAGGGGCCCAAAGCGGACAAUAUCGUGCUACGGCGGAGUUGAUCCCGAGAUGUGACAAUUUGGUAUCAGAGCCACUCUGCCGUGUGGUGCGAAUGUGCCGACGAGGACUUCGGGCCCUUAAGGGGGGUGGAUUGUAAGAUCCCACAUCAACCAACGGAGAGGGGGUGAUGUGCCUUAUAUAUGCACACCUGCAUCCAUCUAGCAUGAGACCUUUUGGGAGCUCACUGGCUUCGGAGUUGUAGGAACUCCGACGUUAAGCGAGUUGGGGGCUAGAGCAAUCCCAGGAUGGGUGACCCACUGGGAAGUUGCUCGUGAGUUCCCAGAAACAAAACCGUGAGGGCCAGAGAGGGGGGCCCAAAGCUGAUAAUAUCGUGCUACGGCGGAGCCGAUCCCGGGAUGUGACAAUUGUACUACUCCAUUUACGUUAAUUCACUCUGAUGUCUUGGGACCUUCGCCUAUCACUGCUCCUUCUGGUGUUCGAUGGUUUGUCACAUUCAUCGAUGAUUGUAUACAGAUGACAUGGCUUUAUUUGCUGAAGAAUAAAAACGAAGUGUUUUCCCGUUUUCAGUCCUUCCACAAACAGAUGAAAACUCAGUUUAAUGCUCAAAUCCAGAUUCUUCGCUCAGACAAUGGUGGAGAAUUUGUCAAUCAUGACUUUCAGACUUACUUCCAACAACAUGGAAUUAUCCAUGAGACGACUUGUCCUCAGACACCACAACAAAAUUGUGUUGUUGAACGAAAGAAUUGACAUCUUCUUGAAACCGCCCAAGCACUUCUGAUUGGCGCUCAUGUUCCUCGCUAUCACUGGGAUGAUGCUAUUGUCACCGCAGUUCACCUGAUCAACCGCAUGCCUUCUGGUGUAUUGACCUUUAAAACUCCCUUACAGGUGCUUGCGCAACACAGACCUCUGCUCUCUGUUUUGGUACUCACACCCCGAAUCUUUGGAUGUGUGGCUUUCGUUCAUCUCCACAAAAAUCAACGUAGCAAACUUGAUCCCUGUGCGCUUCGUUGUGUUUUUAUAGGUUAUGCCACUCAUCAGAAAGGCUACCGUUGUUAUCACCCUCCUACCCAACGAACCUAUGUCACUUUGGAUGUGACCUUUCUGGAAUCUGAGUUGUUCUUCCAUGACCCAUCAUCCAAUUCUACGCAUCAGGGGGGGAUACGAAGUGAAGAGCAGAAUUGAAGCAACUUGGGAAAUAAAGAAAUUUUCCUCUGUACAGAAAUGAUUAAUCAUCCUGAGUCUGGAGCACGAGAUUACUCUCUGUCGAAAAGCAACCAAUCGCCCAUUCAUAGCGAUCAAUUGCCUCACCUACCUGAUCCAUGUGAAGAUAUUUUUGAUCCGAGUCUCACACCUACAGACAAUACAGAACAACAAGAUGAAGACUCCCCCUCUAACUCAACAGUACCAACAGACCAAUCUCCUGAGAAUAUCCUUGAGGUAACUACUCCUACUAGAUUUGUGCAUUUAAAUGAUUAAACUAUUGGAUAUCAAUUACCUUUCAGGGAAAAUCGUGGGAAGCCAUCAAACCGUUAUGCACCUGAUAUUGGCAAGACAUCCAAGUAUCCAAUUGCAAAUCAUGUAUCCACUGAGAAGCUGUCUGAACAACUCAAGGCUUUUGUGCAUCAGUUGUCUGCGAUCCAUAUUCCAACCAAGGUCUCUGAAGCAUUAAAAUAUCCUAAGUGGGUCCAAGCUAUAAAAGAGGAGAUGAAAGCUCUUGAGAAAAAUCAGACUUGGACAUUAGAGACUAUACCUCGAGGAAAAAAGACUAUCAGAUGUAGAUGGGUGUUUACUAUAAAACACAAUGUAGAUGGAUCUAUCGAGCAAUACAAGGCAAGACUUGUGGAAAAAGGGUACACACAGACAUAUGGUAUAGACUAUGAAGAAACCUUUGCUCCAGUUGCAAAGUCAAACACCAUCAGAGUCUUAUUGUCCCUUGCAGCUAAUUUGGAUUGGCCACUACACCAGUUUGAUGUAAAGAAUGCUUUUCUACAUGGCGUACUCACGGAGGAGGUGUACAUUUACAUUCCUCCUGGAUAUAAUACUACUUAGACUGGAACAGUUUGCAGGUUACGAAAAGCAUUGUAUGGAUUGAAACAGUCACCACGUGCAUGGUUUGGACAGUUCACCAUGGCAAUGAAGAACAAUGGUUCAAACAGUGCAACUCAGAUCAUACUCUACUCUUGAAACAUCGAAAAGGGAAGGUAACAACAUUAAUAAUCUAUGUUGAUGAUAUGAUUAUUACUGGGAAUGAUAAACAGGAAAUAUCACAGCUACAAGACUAUCUGGCUACGGAGUUUGAGAUGAUGGAUCUAGGUGGACUCAAGUAUUUCUUGGGAAUUGAGGUGGCUCGAUCCCAGCAAGGCAUAUUUCUCUCUCAAAGGAAAUAUGUCUUGGACUUGUUGACAGACACAUGAAUGCUAGAUUGUAAACCUGCGAACACUCAUAUUGUUCAGAAUCAUCAUCUUGGAGAAUAUCAUGAUCAAGUUCCAACUAACAAAGAAAGAUACCAAAGGUUAGUAGGAAGAUUGAUCUAUUUGUCACAUACUUGACCAAACAUUACUUAUGCAAUGAGCGUUGUCAGUCAAUUUAUGCACUCUCCAAGUGAAGACCACACGAAUGCAGUUCUUCGGAUACUUAGAUAUUUGAAGUCUGCACCUGAAAAAGGACUUAUUUUCUGAAAGCAUGGUCAUAUAAAUAUUGAUGGUUAUUCAGAUGUAAUGUAACAGAUAGAAAAUCCACAUCCGGUUACUUAACAUUCAUGGGAGGUAAUUUGGUGACAUGGAGGAGCAAGAAACAGAAUGUAGUAGCUUUAUCCAGUGCAGAAGCCGAGUUCAGAGGCAUGACUAAAGGAAUUUGUGAACUUCUUUGGUUAAGAAAGUUGCUUACUGAACUUGGGUAUAAACCUACAUCCACAAUGAUUCUCUUUUGUGACAACAAGGCUGUUAUAGCCAUUGCACAGAAUCCGGUUCAGCAUGAUCGUACUAAACAUGUUGAGGAGGAUCGACACUUCAUCAAACAGAAGCUUGAGGCUAAAAUGUUUCAGUUUUCUUUUGUGAAAUCCGAGGAUCAAUUGGCGGAUAUUUUGACAAAGGUGAUUUCCAGUAAAACAUUCCACAAUUCACUGGAUCAGUUAGGCAUUGGCGAUAUCUAUGCACCAACGUGAGGGGAAGUGUUGGCGUGACUUGUGGAUAUUGACUUACUUUCCUUACACACCAAGAAUUCCUAUUAUAAUUGUAAUUGAUUUACUUUAAUUCCUGAUUUCCUAUUGUAAAUAGAUUUAGGAAUUUAUUAUUUACUUGCCCAUUCAGGUUUCGUUGUAUUAUAAAUAUGACCUCCUACAAGGAGAAUAACAUACAGAAAAUUCCCACAAACAAAUAUUCUCUUAUAGUUUUCAUAUUUUAGCAAGAACUACUCGAGAGUUUACUAAAAGAGUAGUUCAGUAUUCAUCCACAAGCUAUAUACACAAUACACUCUAUAGAUAUGCCAAAAUCAUCGCAAGCUCUAGAUUUUAGGUUCGAUACCUGCAAAAUCUAUUAGAAGGGUGAGUGAAACCACAGUUUAGUAGGGACAUAAACCUUUUCACGGUAAACUGAUAUAAUUAAAUUAAGUGAAAAAUAAUCACACAGCCAAAUAUCACAUUAUUAAUAACAAUGCAUGAAUGCUCUUCAUUUAACCCGUUAAUUCAUAUAAUUAGACAAGCUUCACGACCCAUACCAUGCUUAUACCACUUAGUCCCGAAUGCCAAUUUAUAUGAAUUAACGCCCAUUUCAAUCAUCCCAUAAUUCCCAUUUUGUUAGUCAUCUUGUCUAACUCCCUGUUGCCAGUCCUGAAUCACCAAAAAAAAAAAACCAUGUGCACUAUGGGAUCCCUGAGUACUAGUACCUGGCAAGAGUUAGACUCAACUACACAAAAGAUCAUUUCUAUUACCCUCUUAUCCACCAUUAUUUUCUCAACUUCAGAAUUCUAGCCAAAUUCCAUGACAUGAUAUAAUUAAAAUUAUGCCUUCACAACAAUGUGCCCAUUUAAAACAUCACUAAUGCACAUAUAAUUAUGCCCACAUUGUUCAAAUAGUUAAGAGUACGUAAAUACCCAAUACAUGGAACGUCAAUCAAACAGUACCACGCAUAAUAUAAUGCUCAAGAAAUUUAAUUAAAUCAAUCUCUGUAAAAGGCCCCUAAGAAACCCCUGCCUUGAUACUAAAGCUUUUGCUAGACCUAUAAGGUGUUUUCCAAUUUUCCACCGCAUUCACAAACUCUGUCUUCUACUUUUUUUCUUACUUCUCUCUACCACUAUUUCUUUCUCGUUUUCUUUGUUUUCACUUGUUGUGCAACUUAAUGUCCUAUAUAUAUACAAGGAACAAGUCGGCAGUAAGUGAUUUCCUAUUGGAUGGUGUAUUCGGUUGUUAUAAACUUACUAGUAAUAGUUAUCAAUGUAGUUGCAGAUGAGGAAGAAUGUUUUUGUGACUCUUCCAAUCCCUCUAAUCCUAUUUCUUAUCUUCUUGGUGAGUUGAUAGCCUCGAUACUUAACAGAUUUUAUACUUUGACACGUAUUAACAAGAACUAUUUUAAAAACAUAUACAUAUAUAUAUAUAUAAUAGAAUAUGUAUAUAUGUAAUACACAUAUUUAUAUAUAAUAAGAAUAAUAUAUAUGUAAUAAGAUAUAAAUAUUUAUUAGAACAGUAUAUAAAAUAAUAUAUAUCAUUCUUAUUAUAACAAUAAUUUUAAUUUUCCCAAAAUAAUAUAUAUUUAAAAAUAUGUGGUUUCACAUGCAUGUCCUUUUUGCUAUAGACACUAUUACAAAAAUCGAAAUAGACAACGGAAAACUACCGUCGUCUGGAAAGUUUUCAAACAGUCGUGAAAUCGACUGUCGUCUCUUUUACAUAAAACAACGACGGCUAUUAACCAACGUCGUUAAUACAUUCCACGUAAAAAACUAUUAUAAACCGACGUGUAAUUACUAUAUAUAUAGCCUAAAAUAAAAUCUUCAACAACCUUAGACGACGGUUUUAUUAAAACUGACACGUCUAAAGAGUGUUACAUGUCAAGAUCAAAACAAGAACCGACGUACAGAUAAUUAUCCACGUCCUAAUUGAAGUAAAAUAGACUUGGAUAACCUAGAAACCGUCGUGGUUAACAUAUACUACGUUAAAUUAACAAAGGCACUUACGUCUAAAAAGUAAAAGACAACACGCGCACAAAGCAACAGACGUUUAAAGCUUAGUACAUGUCAAUAGCCGCUCAAUAACCGCAGUAAAAUGAAUUAACCACGUCCCACAUAUGGCAGAACUGUUGCUUAUGUGAUUAUCCACGUCGCGGAGUAGUAGAACAAAGACGUUGUAACCAUAUUCCACGUCUGUUUCUUGUGAGAAUUGUCGUUUAAAUUAUACAAAGAAGCCCCUUUGACAGAGUUAGACGUUGCUCUUGCUGUAGAACCGACUUCUAACAGGUUUAAAAUGACACAAUAUUACUUAAUACUGCCGUAACAAAUCAUAUCCACGACUGCUGUUGUCAAAGACUGACGUUACAAAAAAUAUUGAAGGUGUUGACAAAAAAGAACCGACAUGGAUUAUGCAUUCAACGUCGUGUGGUCUAAAAAUAAAGGACGUGGUUAAUUUUUUCUCUACGUCAAGUGGAUCCAAUUGCCUGAUGUUGUAAUUCUUUACCAUGUUGGUUUUUAAUACAUGAUGAUGUGGUUGUCCUUUUAAAAGUCGCUUGUUUUACCCUCCUUGACGUGUGUAUGAUAUGAGACGUCAAUUGUUUUAGACUAGCUGACGUGCAGAAAAUCUGUCACGACAAUUAAUGCAACUGAAUUGCCUCUAUUUCCCCCAGACGACGGUAGGUUUUAAGUGUGGAAGUAGUGUUUUACAAAAUCGUAAGUUGGAGUAAUCUACCAUCGUGUUAUUCGAGAAUAUACCACGAUCUUUGUUUUGUACUCGGUCGCUGAUGUUUAUACUACUUAAUAAACUGACAUGUUUUCAGUUUCAGACGGCGGCUUUUGUUUCUUUAUGGUCUUUUGCAUUUUUUUUCCAUGACAUUUUUGAAAGCCUAAUGUUGGUUUUAUUUUAGAAAUCGAUUUUUCCCCUUUUUUUACUGGACCGUCGUACUUUACACAUUUAAUCAAUUUUUUUCAAUUUUUGAUUCAUCGUGCCCAAAGCCUACAUAACGAAAAUGUGAUCAGAAUUAAAAUGAUGUACAAAGGUAUUAAUUAAUGUCAUACAAUUAACUGAAUAACUAAUGUCAUACACUACAACAAUCAAUCAAUCCAUAUAUCUUCACACCCAUCUUUAAUAUUUUCACUCCCAAACUCACCCACUAGGUCAUCAUAUGUGUCAACAUUUGGUAUCCCUCUAGUAAAUGUCUCACACUCAAUUCUAAUAUCACCUAGCACAUCAUCACCAAUAACAUUAUUAUAUUCUCUAUUAUGCAUUGAUAACACUACCGACCAACCACGAUGCAUUGGGUCGUCAGCAUAAAAUACUUGUUUUGGUCAUUCCUAUGUCCAAUUUUACUCAAAUCUACAAAGGUGAAUCCAAGUUCAUCGACAACAAGGCCCAAAGUGUUAUCUAUCCAAUCACACCUCAAGACAAGGAUUCUAAACUUUUGGUAGUCAAGGUCCCAAAUUUCUUGAAUAACACCAUAAAAACCCAUAUUGGAGACAAUAGAGUUUUUAUCCUUAGCACUAGCAACUUGCAUAGUAUGUGCAAGUAAAUAAACUCCACUAUUUUGGACAGUUCGCAUAUCAUCUUGUGCCUUGGUGUUAAAUUUAACACCAUUAAUAAGAUAGCUCCUAUAUGAUGGCAUUGCCAUGCUUGGACUAGCUGCUAGCCACCUCAAAUUUUAUGAUACGCCAUUAUGCUCUUCCCCAUUAAGUUCACUUUGAACUUGCAAAUUAAUCGUAUAUAUCCUAAUUCGAUCUAACAUAUAAAAAGGAAGAAAAUUAAAAGUUGAAUAUGUCAUUCAAUAACAUAUAUACUUGAAAGUGUAGCCAUUGAAUGAAAGUGCUAUUGUGCUUAUCUUGCAGCCACUUUGUUCUCUUUCUAAAUAUUGGAUAAGUGGUCUUGAUGUGGAUCAUAUGUUCCAUACAUUGACACGAAAAAAUCAAGCAUUACGGUCCCUUGUAUAUAAGAUAACAUAAGGAAUAAUAAUAUUUAAAAUGGCUCUAUAUGAAAAAUGGAACUCAUGCGUACUCGAUAUAAGGUAGGACUUCCUCAGUAUUCUCCAAGACAUAUAGAUGUGUCUGGUUCAAAAAACCCGAUCACCUAAGCUUACUGUGCAACCAGAUAAUGGCUUUGAAACUCCCAUCUUCUAGCUUGAAGGCACUCCAACUGUACUAACAUCAGAUAAAUGCUCGGUGCAAAACUCUACAACUUCUUCAGCUAUAUACCGCUCAAUAAUGCAACAUCCGGGACGAGUACGGUUCUGAACAAACCUAUUUAGCACUUUCAUAUGUCUUUCAAAUGGAUACAUCCAUCUAAAAUAUACUGGCCCAUGUAGACGAACUUCUCUGACAAGAUGUACUACUAGAUGAACCAUGAUAUCAAAGAAUGAAGGGGGAAAGUACUUCUCAAGCAAACGCAACGUAACUACUACAUCUUCUUCCAAAUUAUCUAGCUUGGAAACAUCUACUGUCUUUGCACAUAUAGCAUUGAAGAAGAAGCACAAUCGAGUUAUUGCAUACCUUGCAGGCUUCUCCAAACAGAACGAAUUGCCACAGGGAGCAAUUGUUGCAUCAAGGCAUGAAAAUUAUGAGAUUUAAGGCCAAGAAGUCUUGAAUAUUUUUAAGAUACAAGAUUUUUUUAUAUUUGAACAAUAACCUUCAGGGACUUUCAUACCAUAGAAAGAAUUGCAAACCGCUCUCUUAUCUGCUCUUGACAAAUUCUAGGGCCUUGGAGGCAAGCGAGUACGUCUUUCUCAAUACUCGGGUUGCAAAUCAUUUUUGACCCCCAUGUUCAAUAAAUCUAACCGAACAGCAAUCUCAUCUUUAUUUUUUCUAGGGAUCUCCAGCAAUGUACCAAUGAUACUAUCGCAAACAUUCUUCUCAAUAUGCAUAACAUCUUGGACAUGCCUCAUAGGAAGGUAUUUCAAAUACUCGAGAUCAAAGAAUUUUGAUUUCUUAUUCCAACAAACUCUGUCACCAUCAUUCUCAAAAACACUUCCCCCAUUUUUCGAGCCCCAUAUGUAAUUAAUAUCUUCAACCAUGUCCUAUUCAAGUUAAUGGUUCGGGAGGCGUGCCAUAUUCAAGUUUUCCAUUGAAAGCUGCACGCUACCUCCGACAUGGAUGAUUGAUUGGUAACCAUUUUUUAUGACCAAUGUAACAAAUUUUGGGGCCAUUUUCAACCUGUGACUAGGUGUAUCAUCGCCGCAUAUUGGACAAGCUUUAUAUCCUUUAACGACACUGUAACACCCCGACUCUAAAUUAAUCCCUUAUUUAAUUAUUUAAAGAAAAUUACAAAUUUACCCUUAAGAUAGGGGUAUUUUGGUCAUUUUCUUACCCGAAGAGAGUUUGGGGCAGUGACUAGUAUUUUUGGAUAGGUCGUACUGAGACGAGUUCAUAGACACGUAGUGGGCUCGAAUCGAAGUUGUAACGAGAGAGAUAUGGUCAAAAGAAACCCAAUUGCACAAUCAUAAUUAUUUCGAAAUGAGAUUUUUAUAAAAAUCAGAUUUUUUUUUCUCUCUCUCUCUCUCUCCUCGUCGGUCUCUCUCCCUCUCCUCGAAACUCCGGCCAUCGGCCACGGCUGUGGACGGGGCCGGUACCAAAAUGACCGAGGCGUUGUCCUCCUCUAAUCCCAGCUAGGUCCCGCCGUCAGCCGCCAUGGUUUCGCCGGAAAAUGGAGAAGAAGCGGCCGGCGUCGUCCGAAGUUCUCCGCCGUUGAUCUCCCUCUUCCGGUCACCGAUUCCGACGAGUGAGGUAUGGUUUCUCACCUACUUUUCAUGCUCUAGCUGCCUGCUGGGUAUGAUUGGAUUGAUUUUUAGCGUAGGCAAUUCGAUUUUCGCAUUGAAAUUCGGCUAAUUUUGGAAUCACGAUUCCGGCUAGUUCUGGUCAGUUUUUGGGGUAGAUCCAAGAACAAAAGUGGCUCCAAAUAGGGUGUUAUACCUAGGGUAGGAGUUUGGAGCCAUGGUUUUGAGAUUUUCCGGCGAUACGUAAUCGCUUUAGACACCCAACGCUGCCCGCACGUGUGGCAGUGCGUGGGCGAGGGUAGUGAAAUAGCACUAUGUCUCGAUGAGAUCCUUAGGUUGUCACGAGUGCGUAGGAUUUCGCGGAUCUCAAUUCGGACGUCGUUUGACUAUCGAACGGAUUUUCGUAUAUUGCGCGUCAUCCGGGUUCGAUAGGUUGGGACCGUUGGAUGGUCUCGAAUAAAAUAUAUGUUAAUCUAGGUAUUUCUAGGAUCAUGUAGGAAUUCACGGAUUAUAAAUCGGAGCCCCGGAUAUUCCGAAUAAAUAAUUUAAAGUUUAUGUUUUAUAAUAACCGUCACAUCGUGCGAUCGUGAGCGAUCCGACCGGCCGAUCUGGACCAAACUUACAGAACGAGUGUCCUAUACCUUGAAGAACCCAUAGGAAUUUUCAGAUCGAAAUUUGGAGGUCGUGGGCCCCGUGGGCCCAUUUGACUAGGGGUAGGGUAGUUUGACCCUUAGUUGACCGUGAGUCUCCCGGAGUAAUCUCACCUUUCCAGGGGGAUUAUCGGGUGCUAGACUGUUGUUGAGGUUUACACGAUAUUAGUAGUAAAUUAUAUAUUUAUAUACAUUUGUAAAGGUAAAAAAUAAGUCCAGAAUGUCAGUUUGAAGUGCUUUACGCACUACCUUAGGUACCUCCCCGGAUUUUAGUUACACUACAAGUACCACCCUAUGAAAGUUAGGUCCCACGUGGCGUAGGUUAUCCGGCGUGCGGACAGGCCCUAUACGUGGCAUUGGUAGUAUCGGUGUAUGGGGAGAUUACGUGAUAAUAUGUUGAGGUCACACGUGGCGUAGGUUAUCCGGCGUGUUGACAGACCCCAUACGUGGCGUUGGUUGUACCGGCGUAUGAGGAGAUAUUGUGAUAUGAUAUUCAGGUCUCGCGUGGCGUAGGUUAUCCAGCGUUGAGACAGACCCCAUACGUGGCGUUGGUUCUACCGGCGUAUAAGGAGUUUAUGUGAUAUUAUGUUGAAGUCGCGCGUGGCGUAGGUUAUCCGGUGUGUCGACAGACCCCAUACGUGGUGUUGGUUGUACCGGCGUAUGGGGAGAUAUGUGAUAUGAUGUGCAGGUCUCGCGUGGCGUAGGUUAUCCGGCGUUGAGACAGACCCCAUAUGUGGCGUUAGUUGUACCGGCGUAUGGGAAGAUAUUGUGAUAUGAUAUUCAGGUCUCGGGUGGCGUAGGUUAUCCGGCGUGUUGACAGGCCCCAUACGUGGCGUUGGUAGUACCGGUAUAUGGGGAGAUUAUGUGAAAUACAGAGAAAUGAAAUAAGGUAUUGCCUAUGUGUGGAAUUGGGUUUUAAGGAAGAACUACGUGUGGCUUGAUCCCUCAGGGAGGGUACGUAGGCAGCCUAAGGUUAUUAGGUGUAGCCGCGGACAUAGACGUGAUUGUGUUAGGAGGUUAAAACCUCGUAUGUUGAAAUUGAGAAAAUUAGAUGAUGUAUGUUGAAAUUUAGUAGUCGUAAUUUAUAUUUAAAUUUAUCGUUUGCCUUGUUUAAGGCAUGAAUUGAUUUGCUAGCAUGCUUGGUAGUUGAGAAUUAUAGAAAGGCCGAAGGCCGUUUAUGUGAAUUGCAUGGAAUUAUAUUGUGCAUGCUGCCAGUUGUAGUUAUUAAAUGUGUUUUUAUGCAGGUUGAAAUUUUGGGAAAUGUCCAAUUUACAGGGGAGACUCUGCCGAAAUUUCGGCAGAAAGUCUCGGUCUUUAGUAAGUGGGCCUGACAUCGAGGUGAUGUCGGGGAAUCCACAGGAUCCGCCUCGAUUUUUGGAAAAAUCGGGGCGGUUCCUUUCAGACACAACCAGAUAAGUUCUCAUAGGCAGAAAAAUCAUUAAUUGUUCACAGUAAUACACCUAUGAGUGUAAAGUAAUCUCCUAUGUGUGCAUCAUACACUCCUUUAAUCCCAUCCCACAAAGAUUUUAAAUCAUCAAUCAGAGGCUCUAAGUAGACAUCUAUAUCAUUUCCAUUCUAUUUAGGACCAGAAAUCAAUAAGGUCAAUAUCAUGAACUUCCAUUUCAUGCAUAGCCAUGGUGGGAGAUUAUAUGUAACUAAGAUAACCAACAAUUGUAUCUGCUACUUAAAGAACUGUGGGGAUUGAAUCCAUCAGAUGAGAGAGCCAAUCUCAAGUUUCUUGGCUCUUUACUGAACUCGGGCCAUUUAUCAUCAACAAGUUUUUAAGACGGGAAAUUCGCUGGAUGAGACAUAUGACCGUCAAUUGCUUUUCUAGCAACAUGCCAAGUCAAACUCUUAGCUGUCAUAUGUGAUUGAAACAUCCUUUUAAACCUUGGAAUUGGAGGAAAAUACCACACCACCUUCGCUGGCACACUCUUUUUCAAGAUUGAAUCUUUGCAUUCCUUCCACCUUGAGAUACCACAAGUAGGACAAUUAGUUGAAUCUUCAUAAUCAUUCCUAUACAAGAUGCAGUCAUUGGGACAUGCAUGGAUAUUCUCAUAACUCAUCCCUAAAGGAGAUAAUGUCUUUUUUGCCUCGUACAUAGAGGAAUAUAGUGUCUUUCCUUCUGGAAGCAAAUCUCCUUGAAGUAUCAAUAAUUCUAUAAAACAAACAUCACUCAUCCCAUGUUUUGCUUUCAAAUUAUAUAACUUCACCAAAGCCGACAACAUCGUGUACUUACUGCAACCAGGGUACAAGGAUUGAUCUCAAUCCCCAAUCACAUUGGCAAACUCAUAAGGAUCAAAUCCAAUAUCGCCUAAAUCAUUAUCAUCCAUCCCUACUUCUUUAGAAACAAAACUGAACCUACUUUGCUCAUCUUCUUCCACAUUUCUACUAGCAUUAGUAGUCAAUUCCCAAGGUUCUCCGUGCCAUGUGCAAAUCUGAUAGCUUUAGUCAAUUCCAUUAAAGUAUAAGUGGUCCCUCAUAAUUCCAACCCCAAACAAUCGAAUAUUCCCACAUUUAACACAUGGACAACGAAUAUGAGUUGUAUUUCCAAGAUUUUCUACAGCAAAAUUCAAAAAUCCUUCCACCCCUAACUCAUAUGCCUUCGGUCUUCUAUCCGCAUGCAUCCAUGACUUAUCCAUCUCACACACUAUAAAAUCAUAUAUAUAAUAAAGUGAAAAGACCAGCAAUGAAACACUACUUUAUUCACAUAGCAAAGAAUGAAUUGAAAAAAAAAAUUAACCAAGAAUCAGACGACGGUUUUUACAAAAAAAAUCGUCCUGUAACAGAGGGUCAGACGACGGCAUAUCUAGUUAUCGACGUCUUUAAGCUACCCAAACCCAGAUAUUUGUAUUGCUUUUUGAAGAACCGGGUUCUGGGUUCUGGUAAACAAAAGAUGACGGUAAAUGGAGAAACACCGACGUAUCCUAAAACUUGAGACGACGGUUUAUUUCACCAACCGUCGUCGUAGUUUACGAAAAACAGAAGUCUAAAUCUCCCAUCCUCAUUCCUUUUCUAAGAACCCUUAACAAAAUGCAAACAUCAAAAUAUAAAAGAGCCAUAUAUAGCUCCCAAUUAAGAAACCAAAGCUACCAAAACAUAUAUUAAUAAACCAAAGCUACCAAAAUGAACGAAAACAUUUAUGGGUUUUACAAACUAAGAGAAUAUUGAGAGAGAGCUGAGAGAAUAUACUUACAUGGAUAUUGAGAGAGAGCUGAGAGAAUAUAACAAAUGCUUGAGAGAGAGCUUAGAGAAUAUACACAAUGCUUUGAGAGAGAGCGAAAAAUUUAAGACAAAUUUAUGUUGAAGAGAGAGAAGGAAAUAUUUUAGGGUUAAAGGGAAAUUCUGAAAAUUUUAGAUCACCGUCAAAAUUUUCAAAGGACCGCGUUUUUCAAAGACGGCUAAGGAAAACUACCGCCAUUGUAAAUCAUUUUACUACGACGGUUGAGGAAAACUACCGCCAUUGUAAAUCAUUUUUAUGUCGCCUCUAUAAAAACCGACGUCUAAAAUAUUAAAUAAUUAGAUUUGGUUUGCAUUUCGUGGGAUUCUAACGUGCGUAAUUGACCAAAAAGAGCGAGAGAAAACCAGCGUCGUUUCUAUAAAACCUAAACCCUAAACCCUAAACCCUAAACUCUAAAACCUAAACACUGAAAAAAUUAACCAAAAAUUGCUAUGGACUCCUUACAACAAUGCCUUCUAUAUUAGUAGGCUAAAAUCGGGAUUAAAUAAUUUUGAAUUUUAUGACCACCAAUGGAUCACAUAAACCUUAGGGUUAUGUUUAUGGAAAGUAUAAGGAUUAUUGUGUUUUGUCUCUAAAUCUUUUUUACUUUUGUUAUCACUUGUAACUUUGAAAUCUAAAAUUAAAAUUUUCAGGCCUUUAGGGGGGAGAUAUUGUCUCAAUGUGUUUAUAGAAUUUGAGACUGCGAAGGUUCUAGCUGAUUGACUAAGGAUGAGGCAGGAUGGAUGGAAGGUUUGCUUGGAGAUUCUACCUUUGUCAGCUCUUCUGGUUGACAUGUUGUUUAUUCUGCCUGAGGAACUACUUCUAGAUUUUUCCCUUUUCUAGCAGAACUAGUCUCUGGAAGUACUUGUGUGUCAUCCUUAUUCUUGAGGAAGACGCAGUAUUGCCUUUGAACUCUCCUCUUUUGCAUUCUGGUUAGCUUCAGAGUUGGUCUUCGGCUUUUUCCAAUAGAAUAUCAUCUACCUUCUAUGAUAGUUGCAAAGGGCUUGUCAUUUCCAGGCAUCUUAACUGGUAUUUCCUUCUUUGGCUGCUCUAUUAUUCUCUUGUUGCGUUGGGCAGGCCUUAAAUAGUCCUUCUGUCUGGCUCUAUCUCUAGGUGGAGCCGGAACUAGGCCUUGUUGGUAUGAUGUUCCAAUCCUGUCAAAAACACAAGGUGUGGGCUGACUUUGCCUAACCAGAGUUACCUCUAACUCACUUUCACAUUUGCACCUGUUGCACAAAACUACCCCAGCCGAAAUGGUUGCUUUUGGUCUUCAAUUAGCCUAUCUUUGGACUCUUCUGCCUAUGCUGGGGCUAACUUUUGCUGUUAGUUUGCCUUUCUUUUGUUUUGGCCAAUUUAAGUUGACCAUGUUGACUUGAGGUUGGGGAAAAGGGUCUGUUGUUAUCGAAUGAGGUUUCUCAGCCAGUUUUAGCCUCCAUGCUGUUAUUCCUUCCUGUAUGACGUCCCUGAAAACAACACAACUAUUGGUGGAAUGGUCCCAGGAGUUAUGCCAUCUGCAAUACUGUCUGCCCUUGAGUUCCUCUAGCUUGGGCAACUUGUAGGGUGUUUCUAUUGCCUUCUGUCGCAGCAUGUCAUCAAACAGGGCAUCAACCUUGGUUAAAUCGAGGGAAUAGACUUUGUUAUGAGCUGGUUUGUUUGGAACAAACCCUCUUGUGAAUGGUGGUGGCUUUUGGUCCUUUGGUGGCUUUGUUAAAGCCUUGCAACUGAUGAGAUGUUUUAAUUUCCCCAUUUCUGCCACUGCAACUUCUCUCUCCUCCGAGCUUUCUAUGCCUUCUUCUGAUUCUACCUCAACAAGAUUUACUGAAGAGGAUGGGGUUUUGUAAUAUGUGCCUUUGAAAGAGUUCCUCUUCUAUUGUUCUUCCCUGAGCAGCUCCUUGUAUUUAGAUGCUUUGUCUGCUAGUUCUGCCAGAUCUCCAAACAGCAUCCCAUCAAAUUUUUUUCUCAGAGAGAUUUUAAGGGAGAUUUGAGCCAUUUGGAUGAAGUGCCCUUCCUCCAUAGGGAUUCAAAAUUUCAUUUUGAGCUUUUUGAACCUGGUUAUGAAGUCUUGGGCAGGCUCAUCUUCCCUCUAUUUCCAGGUUUGAGGGCAGCAAGAUCACUGAUGGUGACUUCUGGCUGAAUCCUAAAAUAGUAGUCAUGGAAGACAUUUUCCAUCUAUUUCCAGGUUUGAACAGAAUUGGCUGGUAAGCUAGUAUAUUAGAUGAAGGCUUGUCCAGAGAGAGAAUUUCGAAAAAGCCUUAGUUUUAACAGAAGGUUAUUUUCUAUGGCUAUGCACUGGAAAGAGAAUCUGCCUAUAUGCUUAACUGAUGAAGCAUGGGUGUCUUCUCCGUUGAACAAGGUGAAGUGUGGUACCUUAAAGCCCAGGGAUAGAGGUAUUUGAUCGAUAUAAGCUGGAUAAGGCUUUCUGUAGGUGGGCCUUUCUCCUCUUCUGGCCUCAGGUUCCAUCAUCUCUCUGAUCAUUCUAUAAAGUGCCCCCAUGUCAUUCAAAGCAUUGACAUGAUGCGGGGUUCGCCCCUGUUCUGGCUAGUUGUGUUCAAUCCUUUGUUCUACUUUAUAUGGCCUGGGCAGAACUUCCUCCCUAUGCUCUUCCUCUUUUUCGAAAUCUGGAUGAUUCCUUUAGUUUGCCCCCGGUCUGUUUUUGUCAUUGUUGGCAAAGGGUUUAACUCCUACUCUACCUCUCAUGCCACUUGCUAGUGGAGGGAAUGGAUUGGGGUCCAUCCUUCUAGGUCUGUAGGGCAACACAACUGGUUGCUCAGGCAGAAGUGCCAAGGCCUGAUCACGUGGGGCCACUAGUUGUGGAAUAGGUGGAGGUUCUGGCUAGUUCUGAGGGGGUCUGAACUGGUGCAGAGCCUUCUGGAUGAACUGAAUCCUCAUGUUCUUGGAUGGGAAGGGCUCCUCCCCUCUGUCCAGCUUGGAUUUCUCCAUGUCCUGGUAUUCCAGCUAUCUGUGUGAUGAGAGGCUUCUCUUCAUAUGGCCAUGCCAGUCCUGGUAGAGGUCCAAAAGGGAGAUCUAGCUGCUGGACCACCAUGUCUAGGUUUGGAAUUUUGGCAAUAGUAGCCUCACGGUCCUUCCUGAACUGCCUGUUGACUUGCCAUUACAUCAUGGUUGUCAUGUUGUUUAGAGUAUCUUGGCUCAUUUGUGCUGUGGCUUCUUGCCGAAACACAGCCUCCUGUAUCUAGUUUAACCUUCUGGAACCAGACAUGGAACGUCUACUCGUGGUACUGCCAUGGGCUGAUUACCUAGCAUCACUUUCUUUUGACUCAAGUCCUUUUCGGAGAGCUGCUUGAUCUCUUUUCAUGGCAUAGCGUGGAUUCUGGCUAGAACUUCCAAUAUUCAUAUACUAGAGGAUUUUUCUAGAAAUAUAUGUAUUGAGAAGUCCCACUGGGCGUGCCAAAUUGUUCAUCCGUUUUAGAUUUGUUCCUGUGAUGGUAGGGUAAAGUUCCUCAUUGACUUGAAAACCAUUGGUGGUCAAUAAGUCAACUUUCUUUUGUGUACAAAUGUGCCACUGCUAGCAAUAAAAACCCUAGCAGACUUCUUAAAAAUAGAAAACUUGUGCCCAAGUUAUUAACUUCUAAAUAAGCGAUUGUGAAUUUGGGCGAGGAAUAUCUCCCAAGUAAGUUCUUUUCUUUGCCUCAGAUUGGUGAGGACUUCACAAUUUUUCACAGUACAAAACUGGUAGUUCUAGCUAGAAUAAAUGAUAAGAAAGUGAACUGUUUUCAGGCAGAACUACCUUUUACAAAGCUUAAAAAGGAAGACCAACUCUAAAAAGACAAAAAGAGCUUUUGGACUUCAAUUUCUGCUUGGAUAAAUGCUUCUGAUCCGGGCUGGACUGGGUAUGUUUGUGCUGGACUGGACUAUCAACACCUUCAACUGUCAAGUUUUAGCUGUCAAUGAAUACCAAUGUUCGAGUGUGGCAAAGCUUCAAUCUAUUUCAAGCCGUGCAAGGCUUUUUGAACGGACAGAAUUGGAACCUCUUCAGUCUGGAAGGGGUAGAAGUGGCUGAAUUUGGUGAUUACUGAGCUGGAACUGCACUGUAGUACCUGUUCUGCUUGAUCAGGGCUCUCCAUAAAUUUGUUGAGGUUUUAAUAUUGGUAAAACCCGAAGCUUAUGUUGAACCAACUUUGUAACGAGAGAAAUCUUGCUUUGAAUGACUAUUUCUCUGAAACUAAACAGAAGUUAGAGAUUCUGGAAUAUAGCUGACUUGUUUCUUAUGGCUCAAUGAGCUUUUGGUUGCUUCAGUGUUUUGAAGGCUUUUGAGAUCAAGUGAUCAUUUUGAGUUUUUAUUUUUGAUUGAUUUUUUGGCUGUCCUUUUAUCUGUUCACCUCAUCUCAUAUUUAUAGAAUAUACUGGAGUGUGAUUUCUAAUCUUUUAAUAAUGGGCGGCAAAUCUUUUAAAAGAUCUUUUUUUCUUUUUUCAAUGUCAUAAGAGAAGGAAGCUACUAUUCUGACAGAGAAAGGUUGUCAACAAUCAUCUUUCAAUUUUUCUAUGUUCACUUUUUGUUCUUUGUAAAGAGAAAGAACACAAUCUACCAUGAUGGUCAGUGUGCUUUUCCUGUUGAACAACUCCCUCGUUCUCUACUUAUCUCUUGAAAACGUAGUCUGCUUAUCUCUUGGAAAGACCACCUGAUUUGGUGCAGAGCUUCUCUAUAUAUAUAUAUAUAUAAAGGGAUUUUGAUCUUCUUCUUUUGGCUGAAAAAAUAGAGAAGUCUUUCUGUAAGACCUGCCUUCAUUAAUUUUCUAUCAACUUCUCUGUAAUAGUUGAAAAUUUUGACUUUUCAAAGCCAGGUAUUCACGUGGGGUUGUUUAGAAAAGAUCUGUUGAUUUUGUCAAUCUUUUAGGGUAGAGAUUAAAUAGCGUAAAAAGGCUGGGCUAGUCUCUUUUUCUUAGUAGAUAAAAAGCCCAAAUAUUUUGUCUCACUGCCCUUUUCUGGAAAAUAAAUGGGCUGGGUGUGUUGGAAAUUGGCCCAAUCUUAAGAAAGACUCUGGUGGCUGCCCAAAAUUGACAUAGGCUUUUCUUGAUUUUGGGCUGGGCAUGCCAAAUUAGGCCCAAACAAUGCCCCUUAAGUCUGAAUUGUUUUUGGAAUAGUUUCAGACUUAAUGAUUUGGCCAUUAAUUUGUGCGCGCCAUUUCCUUCUGUUAGCCCACAUCUGCCACGUCUGCCUAUUAUGAUCAAGACUUCGUGGGAAAGUGGGCAGUUACUAGCUAGUUAUUAUCAGGUGGCGUCUUGUCUUCUUCUUCCCACGAUUUCGAGUCUUUCUAAGAAAUUUAAAAAGACCUCAGCUCCUGUUUACUCAAAACCUAACUUCUUCAGACCUUGAUUUUCCUCAGUUUUCUCAGAAUUUUUACCCUUUUCUGCGAUCAAACCCUGCUUCCUUUCAGUUUGAUUCCCCUAUCCUAGCUCAAAACCCGAAAAUGUCUUCUCCAAAAAAUCGUGCCCAGACUUCUUCUUAUUCUGUUCCUCCUACCUACAUUACUGGGGCCGGUGUUGAUAAGCAUGUGAUUGAAGUCCGGAGCAAGCUUCAUCCUUUUGCCCAGAACGUUCUGGACAAGAACGUGUUACAUUUGUUCGAGAACACUCUUGUUUUGGAGCCUCAUCGGUUUGGUUCUGUCCCGACUGAAAUGGCAGAAUUGUUUAAAGAAUAUACUGAAGCUCCUCUAUGCUUUCAGAGCUCUUUCGUAGAUUUCAGUUUUAUAUAUAAACUAUCGUGUUUCUCCCUAUAACAUGUCGUUUUUAAGAAUUGUUGUCAAUGUUUUAUUUCCUGCUACUAUAAGACGGCGAUUAUUUAUACAUAUGAGACGUGUAAAUUAGAAUGAGACGUCAGUCUUUGGGAUUUAAAUUAAGUUUUUACGAUUUAAUGUCAUUUUAGUUCAUAUAAGGACAUAAAUGUCCUAACCAAAAAUAUAUUUAUGUACAUUGUCAAUAAAUUAAAAUAAACCUAAACAUUGUUAAAAUAAAUUAGAUCACUUAUUAUUCUGUAAUUACUUGUUAACGAAUUCAGCCCAUUCCAACCUGACUUCGUCAAUAUGUUCUUAUACAUACUGAACUGGUUCCUUUUUCUUAUCAAACUGCAAAUAAAUAACAAAAACCAACGUGUUAUAAAGAUUACAACGACUGCUUUUAAAGAAAAAGUUGUGGUACUAAAAUAAAGAAUUUAUAUCUUAAGUUUUGCCUUUUACCUUCUUCUCAAAUGCUAGGCCUGGAUCAUGAAUUAUAUCUCUCAUGAAAUGCAUCACGUAAUAGCCACACUCUACAUUUGUUGGUUGUCGAGGAGUGCCAUGUAGAUUUUUCCAUAUGACUGAUUUACAUGAUGAUUAAUUGCCUGUGUGAGAGUUAUACAUUUUGAUUGAACUGUUUCAAGAAAAUGAAAAGUGUUAAUGAUAAAAAUAAAAAUCUAAAGCAAAAAUAUUAAACGUCGUGGUAAAUAAGUGAAGACGAUGGUUUUGUUAAAAAAGUGAUGUUGUAUUUCAUUUCAAACGUUGGUAAAUAAAAACCGUCGUUGUGUAGAAUUCUAACGUCGGUGACGAUGAAAAAUGACGUAUAACCAAAAAUUGUUUGUAAAUGAAAGUUGAACAGAAAAAAAUAAAACUUCCUUAAAUGAAAAACACAAACGACGUGGUAUUUCAAUUAAAAUGACGGUUUACAGAAAAUACUGACGUUGUAAAUGAUUUCAAACAUCGGUUUGAAGUUACCAUCGUGUUUUCAUUGUAACGUCGGUAUUAGAAAAAGCCGUAUAUCAUUCAAAUGCAAAUAAAAAAAUGUUAGAUUUUCAUAGAUAAACUUACAUAUUCACUAUAUUUCUCAUGUCCUCGUCAACAACGCGGUUUGGCAAUGAAUCCAUGUAAUAGAUAGUCUCCUUCGCUGGUCUCACAAUUAUUAACACCCAAUGACCCCUACACAUAAUGAUCCAUAUAGGUUAAAUAUACUAGAAAGAAAAAUAGGCAUCAAGUAUAGUUAAGGGGACUAACCUUGGAUUACAAGGCACCAUGUAAAAUUGAUCCCCAUUUGCGUUUUUCAGGCGGUCUGAGAGAUGUUUCAAACGGUAAGAUAACGUUCCAGAUUGAGAGCUGACUUGUCCAAGGUCCACGAAGCCAAUAAGGUUUACCAUAUUUUCUAUUUUUAAAUAGUCAAAUAGGCACCUAAAUAUAUGAAAUUCAAUUAAAUGAGAUUUUAACUUUAAAGAAAGGAAAUGUAUAAUGCAAUCACUGUGGAUCCAAUCUCAACCAUGGAAGGAAAUUGUAAAAUAUCUUCACACAAGAGGAAGGUAUCAUGGUUAAUGCCAAAGGCUUCCUCUGGAAUGUGAAUUCUAAUGGUCUCGUUAAUGGGCUUCAACUUGGUCUCGACAAAUUGAAAUAAGGCUAACAGAGGAGGUGGCAUGUCUAGCUUUGAGAGAUCCUGUUACAACAAAUAAAUAAAGAAAUAUAAGUUAGUUUGUACACUAAGUAAAAUAAACGACUCUAACUAAACCAAUCAAACCGACGUGGUAUAUAAUAUAAUCGACAGUUUCUAGAACAUACUGAAGGAGUAAAGGUUAUAGACGACGGUAAAGACAUAACCAUCGUUAUGUAAAUGUUCUAACGUCGCUGCAUUAUGGAAAGGUCGUCUAAUUAAAAUGCAGUGAAGCCUUUAUUGAAAUACACGACAGUUUAUAAAAUAAACACCGACGUAGUAAAAUACUGAGACGACGGUUAUCAGCAACGUCUAUUUGAAAUUAUAAAUCAGAAAAAAUCAAAUAUCAAAGAUUUUACCGUUUCAUCUUGCCAUUGUUUAGCAACAUCAGCAUCAUUCGUGGGAUUUUCUUCCUCCAAAACAAGGGGUCUCACAUUAGAGCAGCUUGCUUUGUCAGACAUUAGAUUUUUUGGAGUAAUUGGAGUUUUAUUGAGCAAGUUGGGAUCACAGUUGGGAAUUAGUUGACUGAAUUGUUUCAAUAAAAUUUCCCUCUCUGCUCUGACUGCCUCCAAAACAGUUUCUUUUGCCUUAGCUUUAAUCUUUUUGGUUUCUUCUCUCACUGCCUCCAUAACACUUUCCUUCAAUUUGUUAGCAAAUUUUACUCUCUGCUGUCUCGACAAAUUGAAGAAUUGAGUUGGGGAAACCCCAGCUCCAACACCUCUAACUCUCCCACCAUGCUCAGGGGUUCCCAAAGCCAAGGUCAAAAUAUCGUUGCUCUCAGAGACAGCAGAGUGCCCUCGGAAACUUGUUUUUUCAAAUCAUCCUAAAAGUGAGAGAGAGAGAGAGAGAAUGUUAGUGAGUGAACAGAUAGUAAAACAGAUUAAAUAAACAACUAUACAAAAAUAUUAACCGACGUGGUAAAGACUUUAAAAAACUGAAAUCAAUCCCCAAUAGUAACAGGGACCAUGCAGCAACGAUUUGGUUGACAGUAGUAUAGGUUGGAGAUGCUGUUGAUCAUUAGAUACUAUUUUUUUAAAUAUCAAUUCUGUAACAUCCAGACCUAAAAAAUUAAUGAUUUUGAUUUAAAAUUAAAUUUAAAUAAGCAAUUACGAAUUUACCCUUGGGGAAGGGGUAUUUUGGUAUUUUUUUUUUAUUCAGAAAGAGUUUGGGGCAGUGACUAGUAUUUUUGGGUAGAUCGUACUGAGACGAAUCCGUAGACACGCGGUAGGCCUGAAUCGGAGUUGUAACGAAGAAACGGUGACCAAAAUUAGUCCAGUGGCAAACUUGUAAAUAUUUUGAACUUGGGUGUAGAAAAAUCUGAAACUGGCUUCCUCUCUCCUGCGUGCACACGUCCUUCUCUCUCUCUCCUCUCUCUCUCCUCGAUACCAUCACUCUCUGUCUCUCUCUUCGAUUCUCUCAAUUCUGGCCACGGCAAGGGCCGGGACUGGUUCCGAUCAACUCCUCACAAAGCCCCGAACCAGAACCACCACUUUUCUUGGCCGGAAAGCUCGAGUUUCGCGUGGUAAUCUCGACUGGUUUGAACCAGUUUUCCUCCGUCAUUGUGCCGCCGCCAUCGCAGCCCAAUCUCGGUUAAACAAGUGAGGUUUCUUACUCUUUUUCCGAGCUCUAGCUGCCUGUUGGGUAGGAUUGGAUUGAUUUUUUGUCUAGGAUCCCGAUUUUGAAACCUAAGUUUUGACGAAUUUCAAAGUGAAAUUCCGGCCGGUUGCCGUCCUAAUUAGACCUCCCCGUAGUUGAAUAAAGUGAUCCUCGCUUCGAGUAGUAGCUAAGGUAGGAAUGGUGAAUUGCGGUGUGGAGUUUUUCCAUCACUGAAAAUUACUCUACACAUCCACGCGUUGCCAGGGCAUGUGGAGGCGCAUGGGCAAUGUGGUGAGACCACAUUUUAUCCUGAUGUAGUCUCCUAGUCCUCACGUGCGCGUAAGUGUGCUCGAAUUUCAAUUCGAAUGUUGUUUGACUAUCGAACGGAUUUAUGCAUAUUGUUUCUUAUCCGGGUUCAAUAUGUUCGGACCAUUGGAUCGAGUCCAAAUUUACGUAUGUUAAUCUAGGCACCCCUAGGAUCAUGUGCGAAUUCGCGGAUCGUGAAUCGGAGCCCCGAAUGUUCCGAUUCAAUAAUUUGAAGUUUAUGGUUUGCGAUAACCGUCAAUUUCUGACCAAACCUACAGGACGUGUUUCCUAAACCCGUAGUCGGACCUUAGAAUACUCGUUAUGCGUGCACGCACCGGGAACUUGAGAAAAUUAGUAUUUAAUUUGUAAAUUCCGUUUUGAAGUGAUUUUUUAUUAAUUAAGGGUGCGUAUCUCGAAAUAGGUGCUCCAUCACUAGCACGCAGCAGGUAGGACCCUCUUGAGGUCAGGCAGUGUGGGACUACUUGUGAGUGGACAUUUAUUUUAUAUAUGCAUUAUUUUCAAUGAUUGAAAGAAUAUGCAUGAAAUAUAUAUAUUUUUUGGAAUAAAGAUUGAGAAAUUCAUAUGUUGUUAUAUCAGUAUUAUUUAAUUUAGAAUUUGGUUUGAUUUGAUGAUGAGUUAUAUAAAGGUCAAGUUAUUCGUGAUUAAGUCUUGGAUGAAUUUUGGGGGAAUCGGGAAUUGAAUAUUAUGGUUUAUGGUGGGAACUUAUAUGAUUACACUGUGUGGAGUACCAUCCCCUAGUUACUAGGCUUCCCACAUGUGGCGUUGGAAAUUUUCCAGCGUGUGAUGAUGUAGUCUGCACGCAUAGGACUUAGUAUUGGAGCUACACGUGGCGUUGGAAUUUCCGGCAUGUAAGCUAUGGAGUUUCGUCCCCCGGUUGGACCGCUCAUCCCUAGACGCAGGAUAGCAACUGAAAAUCUUGCGGGUUAGCCAAACAAUCCCCCGGUUGGAUUGUUUCCCCGGUACCUAAGUAGUGUGAUAAAUAUUAUGUAUAUUUAUAGAUAUAUAUAUUUCUAUGUGUGUGUGUGUGUGUGUGUGUGUGUGUGUGUGAGUAUAAAUCAGUUAAAGUAUAUGUAGUGGUUGGGUAAGAGCAGUAUAAAUUUUGGGGAUAAAGUUUAUGGAUAGAGUGAUUGAUCUCAAAGGGUUUCGGAGAAUGAUGUUUUUGAUCAUUAAAUAAAAGUUAUGAAUCUGCAUGUCUUGAGCAUUAUUUUUAGACGGUGGGGUUAUUAUGUUGUUUUGAAUGCAAAUUUUGUUUUUCCACUCACAUGUUUUCUGUUUUGCGCCCCCCAAACAGUAGUCGCUCAAGGGAGAGUUGCAAGCCAUGUUCGAGGCCCCGAACUGUGAACAUCAGUAGAUUAGGUUUCGAGUAAUUUCUUUCUACUCAACUGGAUGUUCUUGUAAACUAAAUUCGUUAGAUGCUCUAUUAUUGCCCCUGUUAGGUUUUACUUGUGAGGCCAGAGGCCAUUUAGUUUAUACUGUUGAAUAAUAAAUGCAUGCUGCUGGUUGGGAUUAUAUUGUGCUUAUGCAGGUUGAAAUUUUUGGGAUUGUUCAAUUUACAUGGGAGACUCUAGCAAAAUUUUAGUAGAGAGUCUCGGUUUUUAAUAAGUGGGCCAGGCAUCGGGGUAAUGUCGGAAAUAAGACUGGAUUCGUCCCGGUUUCCGAAGAAUUCGAGGCGGGUCCUGUCAAGUUCCUCCUAUUAACAAUAAUAAAUUAAAUAUUUAUAUAACUGAUAACAGUUCCUCAUAUUAACAAUAAUAAAUUAGUAUUUUGUAUAAUAAACAUGUUUAAUGAAAUUCAUCUUCUUCUAGCAUGUUUAUUUAAAUUCUAAGUUUUCUGAAGAAAAAAAAAAAAAAAAAGGAGAAGGAAAUGUCCUAAAUUAAAUCUUAAAAGUUCAUUUUUUUCUGUCCCUAUAUAUUUUUUACCCAAUUAUAAUUUGAGAAAAAAAGGUGAAUUAACUGUCAUUUCACCUUCAUCAUUUUCAUGAUUUAUAUAAGAUUCUUCAAAGAUCAUUUCCACAAAAAAUUACUUAAAUUCGAAUCCAUUUAACCGUCUAAUUAAAUCGUUAGGACCGUUGAAAUAAAAUUUAAAGUGAGUUUAAAGUGAGUCCUACUAUGUCUCCCUCAAAUAAGAUCAUUUACAGGAUCUGUCGAGUCAUAUGAGAAUGUUUAGCUUUUCGAUCCCAAGAGUUUGGUUCGAUUUUCAUAUAUAUAUAUAUAUAUAUAUAUAUAUAUACAAGUCAAUUUACUUUAAAAAGUUCACCAAAUUUUAUUUUUGGUCUCGGUAGUUUGCUUGAGGGCCUUUUUCUGUCAAUCUAUUUGUUGUGAUUGAAAGAUUUUAUAUAAAACAAAAGAUAUGUUUUUAUCUUAAAAAAUGCUUAUUUUCAGAUCUUUACAUAUAGACAUACAUAUGGCCUGAGAAUUCAAGCAAUAAAGACAUAAGCUGAUGAGCAUUCAUAAUCAUUAGAAUGAGUACUGAAUGGUCAACUCUUUCAAAAUACUUCGGAAAAAAACAAAGGACAAUACUUCCUUCCUUACUCAUAAGAAGGAACUCCUUCUCACCUUCUAUUGUCCCUCAACCACAAAGUAACAAGUGUUCUCUUUUUUUAAUUGUCAAUUUUUUUUUUUUCACUUUUACUGAACCCCUAGCUUUUUACCAAAGCAAAAAACACAAAACAAUAUUCCCAUUGUUUUUUUUUUUCAUUUUGAUUUUUUUCUCAACUUUUUGAAAAAUAACAUUUUUCCUUCUUCAGUAAAAAAUUGAAGUCUUUGUGGUUAAAAGCUAAGGUUUCAGUAAAGGUUUAAAAUAAAUAAAAAGUUUUGACAAUUCAAAAAACAGAACACAUAUCACUUUGUGGUUGAGCCGCAAUAGAAAGUAAGAAAGAAUUCCACCUUACCCAUAAGGAGGGAAGUAUUGUCAAAAAGAAAACAUCUUAAAAAACACACAGAAAACCCACCAUCACUACUUAAAAGAAGUAGAGAAGUCCAACAUUCUGAUUUUUAUACACCUACGUGACGUGAGCAUUCAAUAAUCAUCCUACACAUAUGUUGAUGUGAGCAUUCAAAAUCAUUAGAAUGAUUUAAUUGAAGACUCAACGUACGGACGUCUUUUUCACUUAGAUUCCCUUCCUGUACAAACUUGAAUCAGUUCCUCCACGACCCCAUCAAUCUCUUCAUCCUCUUUCUUGUUCACGUUGUCGCUUAUUUUCAAUGCCUUUUUUCUCACUCCCUCUCCAAAUUUCUCCACAACCACAUCUCUAAUCACCUUUGCGACCUCUUCUCUUUGCAAACUUCCUUCACCUGUUCUCUUAACCUCCACACCAACACCCACCUCCUCCACUAGUCUAGCGUUGAUCGGCUGGUCAAGAUGCAUAGGCAUGGCUAUAAUUGGAACACCAAACUUGAUGCUCUCCAACACUGAGUUCCAUCCGCAGUGACUCACAAACCCCCCAACACUAGAAUGCUGCAGUAUCUUUGCCUGUGGGGCCCAACCCUCCAUUAUCACUCCCUUCUCUCCCACCCUCUGUAAAAACCCUUCUGGUAACACCUCUUCAACCCUAGUACUUCUCUCCUCCUUAGAAAAUCUUAUAACCCAAAUGAAGCUCACUUUGCUAAGCUCUAAUCCGUGAGCUAUCUCUUCUAUUUGCUCCUUGGACAGAAAGUACUCACUGCCAAAGCAAACAUACACAACAGAAGACCUUUCCAUUUUGUUCAGCCAUUUCAUGAUCCAUGUUUCCUCAUCAACUUUUUGAUCCAUUGGCUCUUGAACAAGCGUGCCAACAGGCACGAUCUUCUUCCCCGUUAAAUCAGAGAGAUAAUCAAUAUAUUUUUCUUCAAUCUCGCUGGAUGUCUUGACCAAAAUGAUGUUACAAGAUCGAGCACUGCAUUGCUGAACACGGUCUCCGUCUUUGAUGCCAUUUGCUGAAGAUUCCAACAAAUUGUUGAACUUUUCAGCUUCGUAAUGUUGAAGAUAAAUCGAAGGAAAAGGAAACUUGACACUAGGGUUCUUGAGAUGUUGAAUACUAAAUGAAGUAAAGGCAGCACCCAUGGUGGUGAAUUCAAUGGAUGGAAAAUUUUGCAAUGAAGCUAGAGAGGGCGCCCAUGGUUGAAGAACAUCAUAUAUGAGCAAAUCUGGACUUAGGGUUUUGAGGAUGUUGGAGAAGUUGUUGCUGGACAUGCUGAAAGCCGUUUUGAGAGUGGACAUGAGAUGGGGAGGGAGGCCAUUGGUGGUGUGGUAGUGCGGUGGGAGUUCAGGCAAGUCAUCAUGUGGAAGAUGGAGUUCCACAAAUUCAAUGCAAUGAGAAUAUUUUUGGGAGAGUUUAGGCUUGAUGGAGCUGAGAUUUACAGGCGUGGAACAAAUAAAGAUGUGAAAAUUUCUCUUGGUGGUCAGCUUCUUGGCUAGCUCUAGGUAGGGAGAUAUAUGGCCGUGAGCUAGCCAUGGAAGCAAAAGAAUAGUAAGGCUUCUUUGGUCAGAGAAAACCAUAUUUUGUUUUCCUUUGACUUGUUUUCCUUUGACUCUUUUGCUUGAGGUUGCUCGAUUAUAGGCUUAUUGGUAGUUUGUUUGUGGCUAGCUCUAUGCAUAUAUAUAUAUAUAUAUAUAUAUAUAUAUAUAUAUAUAUACACACACAAAAACGCGUGAUGAUUGGAACAUGCACACGUAAGUUCCAGAGAGUGAUGAUUGGCCUAUGAUAAAGACUCGAAACAAGAAUAGUUUAAAUUUUCUUCUUUGUUUGGCUUGAUAUAAGACGAAUGCACCAAACAAACCGACUAAAUGCCGACACAAUAAUUAGGUACGUAAUAAUAUCAACUUUCAUUAUAUAGAUCUGAGAAACAAAAAGUUGAACUUUGAUGACAAGCGAUAUUAAGGAAGGGCACAAUCGAACUUAGGAUCUCGAAUGUUGAAGUACAUGCUCUUAACAACUUGAGCUAUAAGGUAUUUGUAAUGACAAUUUAUGGUUUUAAUUAUACUUUUGAAUAGUUGCUUCCUUCUCUUUCAUUUUUAUUUUUAUUUGUUUAUAUUUAACUCUAAUUUUAUUUAUAUUUCUGGUCAAGGUAUAAAGACUUUGAAUCUCUCUCCAAUUAUUUUUCACAGCCGAAACUCCUUUAGUUUCCACAAAUCUUUUUAAACAUUUCAGGCAUAUGUAUGUUUCCGAGUCGGAUGGUUCACGUAACCAAGAAAUUUAAACUUGUUUUUGUUUGUUCCUCCGAAGAAAGCACAACAAAAGGACAACCUACAACCAAUACUUCUCAUUGAAUUUGUUGCCGUGAAUGAUUAGGACUCUGCCCAAACUAGUAGUUGCGUUUCUGAAUUGUUUGAAAACACAUAUCAAAUUAUGAUUUCUCCUCCCCGAAAGAAAAAUUGACGUAGAAGUAUCAUGAUCUUGAUGACACAAAUUAGAAUCUAGGGUUUUCGAAGUGCCUAAUGGACAACUACUUAUUUAGAAAUAUAUAUAUUUUUGUGGCUAAAAUUUAAAUUUAUUAUAUAUAUUCUCAAUGCAGAAACACAUAAAUCUAAGUUCGAAUUCAUCCUUUUUUUGUUUUUUUUUUUUUGUUUUUUUAACCCAGAAGAAAAAUUGAGUCCCACUCUGCUGUGUAGAAUGCGCGUUUAGUAUAGAUUUUUUUAUUUUUGAGUCUCUUAUCUGGUUCCCGAGCUUCUACAUUUAGGUCUCGUGUAUUUAUCUGCAUUUUCUUAAAUCUAAAUCACUCAAACAAUCUAACCACUUAACAAAUGACACGUACUCAAACUUAAAAUCAGAAUGGAUGGAGUAGAGGCUUACACCGAUGAUUCUUGGUCAAGACUUGAGAGACAGAUGGAGACGAGGCAUGACAUAAAGUCUGAAGAAGAGAAACGAGGAAGCUUCAUUUAGAUGGUGGUGUAAGUGCAUACGUAAAGUCCAGAUUCAACAGGAAAGCAUCUUAAACGUAAAGAAAAUAAGUUUACCAGAAGCAAAAGAGAUACUGAAGUAAUUGUUUAUCAACUGAACUUAAACGAAAUAUUAACUCUUUGUUGUGCCAUAAGCACAAGAUCUUAUGAAAAAAAAUUCAAGAUAAACCAUAUAAUAUUGGGAGAUUCACGUUUAUACCGAAUAUAGGAAUUCAAAUUAUAAAAUAAAUAAAUAAAUAAAAUAAUCGAUAUGAAAUGGACUUUAGAAACACACACAAAGCCUAUUUACAACAUAACAAAAAGGUUUUUCCCUUCUUUUAAAUUACAAAACUGCCAUUGAUUUCUUAAAACAAACCCAACUCCAAAACCUCAUUAAAAAAGCACAAAACACUCAAUAGGGUGUCAAAGUAAUUUAAUAAUAAAAAAUAAAUUCAAUAAGGCCAAUUGAAUUUUUUGGAUUUUUUUUUGGGUUUGUUUAUAGAAAUUAAUGGUGUAGGGUUUAUCUAUAUUAUUGGUGUUAAGAAUGAAUAAUGACUAAAUAUCUCUAUAAUAUUUUCUAACUCACAAAAUAAUAUAGAAAAUAAAUGCAAGAACAAGAAAAUAGCAAUAUGCAAUUUAACGAAGCUGCUUACAAUCAGUGCAAAUGAGCAAACAAAUUCGCUAUUAAUUUAUGAAGUGUUUUUGUAUUUACAAUACCGCCUCUUGAAUGUCCACCAUACAAUAAUAUAGUUGCAUCAUUAAAAACUUUACUUGAAAAAUCGUUUGGGACAAAACUUAAGCUAAGAGAAAAAGAGUGCAACACAAAUGAUAUUGACAUCACAUAUGUCUCUCCUACAGAGUGAGCUUUGGUGAUGCUUGUAUAAAAAUUGCUUUCACAUCAUUAUUGGGAGAUGUAUGUAUGUCAUCAAUCAUUUGAAUCUUGUUGAGGUUAAAGUAAAACCAAAAAAAUAUCAAGGGCCAUUUUCAUAUAGUUUUUCACAAUAAAAAUUAACAAAAUAACUUCAUGUUCUUUAAUAUCAUCAAAAAAAUAAUAUAAACAAACUCAUAGUUUACCUUUUCAAUGAUAAGUGUUUGGAAAAUUUACAUGGAAUAAUAUUUGGUAUGCUAUGCUAGCAUCUCAUAAGCUCUUCAAGAGACCUAAAUUUUAUGAUAACUUCUUAAAAAAAUUUGAAUACUUUUCAACAAUAUUAAACUUGAAUUCAAACUCAUAAUUCAAUCAAAGUACUCAUUGAGGCAAUUUAGAUCAUUUUCAUUUUAAGAAAAUUGGGUGCAUACAUUGAGCUUCAUGCCCUUUACCUUCUUAGAGAUUUUCUUCGAGCAAUUUAUAUUGCAUGACAGAUUAUAUCUCUUAGAAUUUGUUCUUAUGUAUUCUUCAAGAGAUCUCUUCUUGCAAUAUGCUUCAAACACUUCAUAAUCUUUAUAGAUUUUUCAUGUAGAUUUAAGGUCUCCAUGAAUAUUGAGAUUGAAACAAGGAGUAAAAUAAAAGUUUAAGAAAAAUUUUCCCUGAUUAUUUUGUAAUUAUAAUGUUGGUGAAAACCUAAUUUCCUUUCUGAAAUUUGUGAAAUUUGUUAUUUGGCUAAGCUAAAAGUAUAAUAUUGACAAUAAAACGUAUACGAAAGUUUCUCUUUGGCUGGCUUCUUGGCUGGCUCUAGGAAGGGACAUUGCGGCCAUGAGAUAACCAUAGGAAGCAUAAUAAGAAUGCUUGGAUGCUCUGAACAAUCCAUUUUCUGACUCUUUUUCUUGAGGCGGUUGUUUUCUUAGGCCCAUCAGAGUUUAUGGUCGACAGAUAAGCUUCAAACACAUGCAUUGGUCGUGUCAGUUGCGAUAAACUCUUCCCAACAAUCUGAGACUCACAUCACUCCAAACACAUAAAAAGAAGUGGAAAUUUGCUAUUCUUUGUCUUUGUUUGGACAGCUAAUAGCAAAGCAUUGGAAACAUCGAAAAAAGAAAGUUAAUUAAUUUAAGAAAAACAAAGAAAUCCUUCUUUUUUUUUCUUUUUUUUUUCAGCAAACCGAAACAUAAAAUCCGAAAAAGAAGAAGGCAUGUCCAAAAUUACAUCUUGAAUUUAUUUUGGAGAUUCACUAUUAUACUCAAAUUAUAUAUGAAAUAAAUUUUAGAAACACACAUGACGCCAAUUUACAAUAUAACAAAAAAACUUUUAACUUCUUGUAAAUUACAAAAUUGUUAUCGAUUUCUUAAAACAAGCCUAAUCCUAAAACCUCAUAAAAAAAAAAUCAAAACACUCAAUAAGGCAUCAAAGUAAUUUAAUAAUUAAAAUUAAAUUUAAUAGGGUCAUCUGUCAUUUUUUGGAUUUUUUUCGAAGUUGUUUAUAAAAAUUAAAAUAAUGUAUAGUUUGUUUAUAAAAAUUAAAUGAUGUAGAGUUUCUUUAUAUAAUUAAUGUUAAUAAUGAGUAUAUGAAUAAAUGUCACUUUUCUUUAUUAACCAUUUAUAAUAUAUGAACUCAAGACUUCCUAUCGAACACCGAAUGGUCUUUCCAUUCCUUGUUAAUUCAAAGUCUGAAAAUGUUCGGUGUCAGCUCAUGAAUUUAAAGGCUUAAAGGCUCAAAACUUGAACGAAUAUGAAAGAAAAAAGUCGUUCACCGUUCAUCCUCUUCCUGCAGCUGUGCAUGCUAAUCACCCACUGAAUUAAACAUACAAAUACGCUUUAUGUUUUCUCAAAUUGUUCUUUGAACUAAGUAGAGGUUGGAAUACACUCGGGGUCAACAUUGUUCAAAUACAAAACACUUCUUAAUUUUAUAUUUUAUCAAAACAGAUCGAAACUUCAUUCAAACUGAGAACCUAGAUUACAAAACUACCAGAAAAACUGGAAUCUGCACUGUGGCCUCAUUAAAACCUUGCUUUAAAAAACUCCUAAAAGAGGAGAAUUCAGUCAAGAAAAAAGAGUACCACAGCAAGUGAAAUCCGAUAUCAUACUUCAUUCCUUUCUCAUACAAAGUUGAAUCAACUGCUCUACCACCCCAUCUAUCUCUUCAUCCUCUCUCUUUUUCAUGUUGUCUCUCAAUUCCAUUGCCUUUCUUUUCAAACCCUGUCCAUUUUCUUCCACCACCACAUCUCUGAUUACUUUUGCUAUCUCGUCCCUUUUCAGCCUCCCGUUCUCGUUGCCGCCUCCUCCCAUUCUCUUAACCUCCACACCAACUCCAACGUCCUCUACUAUUCUAGCGUUAAUAGGCUGGUCAAGAUGCAUAGGCAUGGCUACAAUUGGAACGCCAAACUUGAUGCUCUCCAACACUGAGCUCCAUCCACAGUGGCUCACAAACCCACCAGCACUAGAAUGCUUCAAUACUUUUGCCUGUGGAGCCCAACCAUCCACUAUUAUUCCCUUCUCCCCCACCCUCUCAAAAAACCCUUCUGGUAAUACCUCUUCAACCCUAGUACCUUUCUCUUCCUUAGGAAAUCUUAUAACCCAAAUAAAACUCACUUUGCUAAUCUCUAGCCCAUGAGCUAUCUCUUCUAUUUCCUCCUUGGAUAAAAAGUACUCACUGCCGAAGGAAACAUACACCACCGAAGAUCUUUCUCUAGUGUUUAGCCACUUCAUGAUUUUUGUUUCCUCCGAAUCCACUUCUUGCUCUAUAAGGUCUUGAACAAGUGAACCAACAGGCACAAUCUUCUUCCCAAUUAGAUCAGAGAGAUAAUCAAUAUAUUUUGCUUCAAUCUCUCUAGAACUCUUAACUAAUACGAUCUUACAAGAACGAUCGCUGCACUGCUUAGCACGGUCUCCAUCACUGAUGCCAUUUGAUGAAGAUUCUAACAACAUCUUGAUCUUACUAGUCUCGUAAUAGAUUGAAGGAAACGGAAAUUUGACACCAGGUUUCUCGCCAUGGUGGGUACAAACUGACAUCAUGGCAGCACUGGUUGUGAAGAACUCGAUGGCUGGAAUGUUUUGUAACAAAGCUAGAGAGGGUGCCCAUGGUUGAAGAAAAUCAUAAAUUAGCAAAUCCGGGUGUAGGGUUUUGAGGAUGUUGGAGAAGUUAGGGCUUGCCCUGUCGAAGGCGGUUUUGAGAGUGGACAUGAGGUGGGGUGGGAGGCCAUUGGUAGUGUGGUAAUGAGGUGGGAGUUCAGGCAAGUCGUCAUAUGGAAGAUGUAGUUGCACGAGUUCAAUGCAACGAGAGUAUUUUUCAGAGAGUUGUGGCUUGAUGGAUCUGAGAUUUACAGGUGUGGAACAAAAAUAGAUGUGAAAAUUUCUGUUGGUCAGCUUCUUUGCUAGCUCUAGGUAGGGAGAUAUGUGUCCAUGAGCUAACCAUGGAAACAUAAGAACACUGAAUUUUCUUUGCUGAGAAGAAUCCAUUUUUUCAGACUCUCUCCAUUCAGGUCGUUUGUUUUAUAGAUCUAAUAAGUGAGAUGAAAAGAUGACAAAAUAUAUACAGAUGAGUCAUGUGAAUCUAGGUUUUUUCUUCGUAGUCAGAAGAGUCGUGCGUAAGUGCAUGCGUGUAUACAAGACAAAAGACAUACGUUAGACUUCUUUAUCUUCGUUCGUGCUGAUAUAUAUUAAGAAACAGACCCUUGCAACUCUAAUAUCCUAGACAAAAAUUCAAUUUUAAAAACUGAUGCUAUGUCCUGUGUUUUCCUAAACAAUCCCUAUUUUCUGUAGUCUUUCAAUUAUUCUAAAUUUGCUCAACAUUCAAUAUAACAUCAAUUUCUUAUAAAUCCCUGAACUUUCUCUAGCAUUCAAAAUUUUAAAACAUUCUCAAAGUAAUUCGGCUUCAAAGGAAUGGUAAACUUAGUAAUGGCUUCUUUUCCCCUUUCACGAUGCAGUGGCUGAGAGUUCUGAGAACGGAAGUUGUAGUUGGGUGACUUUGAUUCUUUUUAGCUGAUGCCUACUGCUUGAAUGAAAUGGAGCAAAGAGGUCAUCAGUACUUACACUGCUACUAGGAGGGUAAGCUUGAUUAUGUGUAUACUAUAACUUUAGAGUUUUGGUAUUUGGAAUGAUGAUAAUUUCAAUGUUACAUUUAUUUUGUUUACUACACUAUGUUUCUUUGUUGAACUCAAAUGUCAUGCUGAUAAAAAGAAAUAUAUUGUUGUAUGAAAUUGAAUCAAUAAGGAAAUUGACUGAGAUUUAAAAAUAAAAUUACACAGACACAGCAUGCAAUAUUAAUGCAAUAUUAAAUCUGUGUUAAAUAAUGUAGGACAGAUAGAUUAGCUGAUCGAGGAGCAGCUGGAUAAGCCCGUGCAUGUCGUUGUGCCAGAAAAGCCCAAUUCGUGCAAGUAUGGGCCCUGAACUCUUAAUUAGGCUAUGAUCUGUCAUUUUGAAGAGAACGGCGUGACAAGUGCAACUCACUGCUGUAUUGUGACAUACGGAC
rnacentral:lncRNA from 1 species